AGUCAAACUUAUUUCUUUGUAUUUUUGUUUGAUCAGAAGACUCUAGCCUGUGUGCUUGAGCAUUAGAAGACUCUUGCUUAGUGCUUGAGCAUUGGAAGACUCUUGCGUGUGUGCUUAAGUAUUUUUGAGAAGUCUCAUACUUAGAGAGUAUUGAGCAUUUGUAAUCUUUGUGAUUAUAGUGAAAUCUCCUUGGAAGUGCAAGAGGGACUGGAC
rnacentral:lncRNA from 1 species